rnacentral:rRNA from 1 species
AUUGAACGCUGGCGGCAGGCCUAACACAUGCAAGUCGAACGAGUGGCGGACGGGUGAGUAAUGUCUGGGAAACUGCCUGAUGGAGGGGGAUAACUACUGGAAACGGUAGCUAAUACCGCAUACCAUCGGAUGUGCCCAGAUGGGCUUAGCUAGUUGGUGGGGUAAUGGCUCACCUAGGCGACGAUCCCUAGCUGGUUUGAGAGGCUGACCAGCCACACUGGGACUGAGACACGGCCCAGACUCCUACGGGAGGCAGCAGUGGGGAAUUUUGCACAAUGGGGGAAACCCUGAUCCAGCCAUGCCGCGUGUAUGAUGAAGGCCUUCGGGUUGUAAAGUACUUUUGGCGGGGAAGCGGUAUCUGCAGAAGAAGCACCGGCUAACUACGUGCCAGCAGCCGCGGUAAUAC